rnacentral:rRNA from 1 species
ACGGCAGCACGGACUUCGGUCUGGUGGCGAGUGGCGAACGGGUGAGUAAUGUAUCGGAACGUGCCUAGUAGCGGGGGAUAACUACGCGAAAGCGUAGCUAAUACCGCAUACGCCCUACGGGGGAAAGCAGGGGAUCGUAAGACCUUGCACUAUUAGAGCGGCCGAUAUCGGAUUAGCUAGUUGGUGGGGUAACGGCUCACCAAGGCGACGAUCCGUAGCUGGUUUGAGAGGACGACCAGCCACACUGGGACUGAGACACGGCCCAGACUCCUACGGGAGGCAGCAGUGGGGAAUUUUGGACAAUGGGGGCAACCCUGAUCCAGCCAUGCCGCGUGAGUGAAGAAGGCCUUCGGGUUGUAAAGCUCUUUCGGACGGAAAGAAAUUGCCAUCUCUAACAUAGGUGGUGGAUGACGGUACCGUAAGAAGAAGCACCGGCUAACUACGUGCCAGCAGCCGCGGUAAUACGUAGGGUGCGAGCGUUAAUCGGAAUUACUGGGCGUAAAGCGUGCGCAGGCGGUUUUGUAAGACAGGCGUGAAAUCCCCGGGCUUAACCUGGGAACUGCGCUUGUGACUGCAAGGCUAGAGUGCGGCAGAGGGGGGGUAGAAUUCCACGUGUAGCAGUGAAAUGCGUAGAGAUGUGGAGGAAUACCCGAUGGCGAAGGCAGCCCCUCUGGGUCGACACUGACGCUCAUGCACGAAAGCGGUGGGGGAGCAACAGGAUUAGAUACCCUGGUAGUCCACGCCCUAAACGAUGUCA